UUUUGUUUGUUUAGAUCGCAUAAAUAUGAAUGUGGCGUUAAACCGGCCAACCAACCGACACAGCCAACUCAGUAAGGUUUGUCACAUAAACAGAACGUGCCAAUUCGUUACGAGUGCAGCACACGGCGGUGUGUUGGAGAGCAAAUCCACAACAUUUACAGUCCGAGUACGACGUUACAACCGGCAUCAUCAGGCGGCCGGGCAAUAUCAGAAACAAGAAAAACAUCUCUCUUUACAAACGAGACAACAUGUCCGAAGCGACCUGGCCACGCGCGAUAGCUCAAAGAAAAGUGGCUUCGAACGCGGAAAUGUACGGCGGCCAAACACCAUAAACGCGUGACGUUGAUUCCAAACGUGGAGGGGGGAGAGAAUCCUGAGAACGCGGAGAAAAAAAUAUGCACGCGACCAUGGGGAGAGAGAGACACGCACACUUCAAAUAUACAGCAGCAGGCGUCAGGGUCGGGAUCGAACCCACGACCAUAUGUACACCAGGCGAGGUAGUUAACAUCUCCUCGCCACCGUGAUGAUGAUGAUGAUGAGAGAGACACGCAAACUCCAAAUAUACAGCAGCAGCAGCAGGCGUCAGGGUCGGGAUCGAACCCACGACCUCCUGUAUACCAGGCGAGGUAGUUAACAUCUCCUAGCCACCGCGGCGCCCUCCAGCACCGCACCCCCUUCUCGACGAAAAUACAUUCACCAUAAAGCAUUCCACGUGCUUCCGUGUAGGUUCCGUGUUACUCUAGCAAGCUGUAAAUUAUAAUUGUCCACAGGUCUAGUGGCAAGGUAGAGUGACACAUAUAUAUAUAUAUGUCCUGGUCUGUUUACACGCUUUUGCACGAAUCAUCCUGAAUGGAAUUAGAUG